rnacentral:snRNA from 1 species
AUACUUAUCUAGACAGGGCCAAUGAGCGAUCAAAAAGACUCAUGGCCUAGGUUAGCAGCCUCCAUUGCACUUAAGAAGAGUGUUAUCCUACCAUCUACCCAGGUGGGAGAGUGAGCGUCACAAUUUGUUAUGGAGGGGUACCAUUUGCACGGCCCCUA